rnacentral:rRNA from 1 species
UUGAAAAGAGAGUUAAACAGCACGUGAAAUUGUUGAAAGGGAAGCGUUUGCGACCAGACUCGCCCCGCGGGGUUCAGCCGGCAUUCGUGCCGGUGUACUUCCCCGUGGGCGGGCCAGCGUCGGUUUGGGCGGCCGGUCAAAGGCCCUCGGAAUGUAUCACCUCUCGGGGUGUCUUAUAGCCGAGGGUGCAAUGCGGCCUGCCUGGACCGAGGAACGCGCUUCGGCUCGGACGCUGGCGUAAUGGUCGUAAAUGACCCGUCUUGAAACACGGACCAAGACGCG